AGUGAACGCUGGCGGCAUGCCUAGCACAUGCAAGUCGAACGGCAGCACAGUAGGUUGUUGCUCUUAGCGGUGGCGGGUGGCGUGAGGAAUACAUCGGCACAUGAACCUUCUUUUGCGUUAGGGCUAACGAAGGGGGACUAAUGCCAAUACCGCAUACGGCCUGCGAGCGGAGGCACUGGAGCUUCCGACCUUGCGCGUUUGCCUGAGGCGAUGUCGGAUUAGCUAGGUGGCGGGGUAAAGGCCCACCAAGGCGACGAUCCGUAGCUGGUCUGAGAGGAGGAUCAGCCACACUGGAACUGAGACACGGUCCAGACUCCUACGGGAGGCAGCAGUGGGGAAUAUUGGACAAUGGGCGCAAGCCUGAUCCAGCCAUGCCGCGUGUGUGAAGAAGGCCUUCGGGUUGUAAAGCCCUUUUGUUGGGAAAGAAAAGCAGCAGGCUAAUACGGUGCUGUGAUGACGGUACCGGAAGAAUAAGCACCGGCUAACUUUGUG
rnacentral:rRNA from 1 species